GGCUGUGUGCGCCUGUGCUGCCUCACCUGUCCUGGCCCGCCAGCCCUGGCCAAGUGAAGCUGGGACCACCGUGGGGCCCGCAUGGAGGUGGGAGAGGGUGGGGACCUGAGGUGUCCCGUGGAGGCCAUCAGCGCCUGCCUGAGCUGCUCCUGACCCUUCUCCCUGGGGGAUGAUCCAGUGACGGGAUUCCGCUCUGCCUCUGCUCACCCCCGGGGGUGAGCGUGGCCACACUUGGGGGAUCGUGUCUGUGGCACCAGCCUUUUCCUCCUGCCGCUGAGUCCUGCUGCCAGGAGGGGCCGGGCAGUGAGCCGACAUUCCUCACAAGGCUGGUGAGCUCCCGGAGUGGUUUUUGCCCCUGACCGGCUUCGCAGGGACUCGUGGGCUGGACCCCCACAGGCUGGCAGGGUGUCAGUGGAGGGCUCACGAGGUGCUGGGGCCUUGAGUUGCUGUCACAAAGUCUGUGUGGUUGGGAGCUCUGUCCUUUUCAUUGGAGCUUUGAGUAAUUCUGUGUCCAGUACACCUGUGCUGAGUUGAAAGGUAAUUUUGGAGUGAAGCACUUGUACCUGCUUUUAUGACCUCACGUUGUCCUUUCCAUUCCCGAGCAAGAUGCAGGUCACUGUGUGUGUCUGAGCCGUGACCUGCUUGCCUCGCGUUUGGCUCGUGUGGGCUUCUAAGUGUCCCUCCAGUGUACCGGCCGUCAUGCACGCUGUGCUCUGCAGCCUCUUCUCCCAGAGAUGACAUCCUGCUCCUCGUUUGGGGUUGGCUCUGUGCCCUAUCCACCCCCCCGCCCCCGAUAGCCUGGCCCUUGGAGCUGGACCCAUGUGUGGGCUCUGACACCGAGUGACACCAAGUGAAGCCGGGCUUCCCCAUGUGCAGAGCCCACUACGUUCAUUGGAUGGAACUUUCUCGAAGCUUUUGUUCCAUCAUUGCUAUCUUCAGAUUUGGCAUCUGCUGCUACUUAGCUGUUCCAGAGUCCAGCCUAAAGUACCCCCGCUGCGUUUUAGGACACAGUUAUGGCUUUAUUUCCUUUUGUGGGCUUGCAUUCAAUCAGUGCCUCACAGAACAUUGUAACUGCCUGGGACGCCACUCCCGGGAUGAGUUUGAGAAUCCGAGCUCUGGCGGCCUCCGUGGGUCCUUACUCGGCAGGAGCCUGGGCACGUCCCUGCUUCGCACAGAGGCUGCUGGGUGGGUGCGUUGAUUACUGAAGUGUUGCGUGGAGGCCCGCUCCUCUCCCCCAUGAGUUUGAGUCUGGAGCCGUCCCCUCUCACUCUGUGGUCUCUCUCUCUGCAGCCUGCUUCCCUCUGCUCCAGAGGGGGCUCAGCACAGAGGUUUCGCUUGACCCACGGGUUUGGAGUGGAGUAAUCCUCUUGGGGUAGGGAUGAGGCUAGUAGAGGGUCUGUUUGGGAAGAGUGGUCAGAAAGAAGGUUGUGGUGGUAAACUGAAUUUGACGGAAUGCCGGGAAUUACUGGGGAGAGGGGCAGGAACCAGGCCCUUGGGGCUGGGGUCAAGGCAGAUGAGCAGAGUGGGAGGGGUUAUGGGGGAAGGUCUGUGGGGUGCAGGGCUCCCAGCGGGCCAGACGCCGCCUGGUCUGGGGUCAGGGUGAGCAGGUGCUCUGUGCUCUUAGAAGCCACCGGAGCCCCUGCUCACAGCCGCCCGGGGCCUGGAGCCAUCCUCGGGGCGCACGCUAGAGGUUUGCCCAGGGCUUGUCAGCUCCUGUGUCGGGCUUUGAGGGGGGAGGGUCUCGGCAGGGAGCAGCCAGGUCUGGGAAGAAUGUGCUGUUCUGGCUCCAGAUGGCAGUUCUGGGCCUUCAACCUCAACCUGAAAUUGUCACGCUCUUCAGCCAGUGUGAAAUCAACUUAGUGGGUCAGGACCGGCACUUAAAAAACAAAUAGAGUAGAAUUGAAUAGAAUAUCAGAAUUAAUACCAUAGAUUCUUAGAGCUGUACGUGUUGCAAAAAAACGUUUGUUUUUUUUUCUCCAGAGCUACAAACAUCCUGCUUAUGUGUGUUGUUCGCGUAUUGCGAAGGGUGUGGUUUACCGGUGGGUCGUUGUCUGAACAGAGUGAGGUAACGCUCCUGCUUUGUUCUUCUAGAAUACACUUCUGACCUUUUUCCCCUCAUGGGGGUGCAGUGUGGACCGACGGGUGUAGGGAUUUUUUGCAGGGGGGCAUGAAGGAAAGGGAUUACUCCAGACCGCCCGGGAGGCAGGCUCGCCCUUGAGAAGGGUAAAGAGAGAAGGGAAAAGGGUCAGCGUAUGUGUUACAAACACUAGCAAGUGGGAAAGGAAGUACCCAGCACAGCAGAAUCAACCACCCAGUAAACAGUGCUUGGAGGAGGAGUCACUCAAGCCCACGGGGACUCAAUGUCCUGCAGCUCAGAAAGGGGGGGAUCGGGGAAAGAGCAGAGUUACAGGCUUUCCUCGCUCCCCUCCACCUGCCCUGUAAAUUCAAGAUUGCACACAAAGGUGUGGUUUCUGGUGGUUAGCAUGGAGCUGCACUCGUCCGUCUCCUGUUAAACGAUCUUGUUGCCACUUUGACAUGUUUCUUGCACCUGUGUGGAAAUUCCUGAGUGACGUGGAUGUAUGUUCAUCUUCCCAGUCUCGGUCCCCCAGCCCUACUUUGUACGUGGAAGGCCCGCUGCCCGCCCCCCCAUUCCUUCUGCUUCUCUCUCCCCUAAGAUUAGAGAUUAAAGUAGGUUUGAUCCAUCCCAGUACAAGUGUGUUAGUACGAAUCACAGCAAGGAAUGGUCUUGACACAGGAGAUUGGGAACAGAGGUUGGAGUGUUCUUAGCUUCUUCAGGAUUUAAGUGUGUGUGUGUGUGUGUGUGUGUAUGUGAGAGAGAGAGAGAGUGAGGGGGCUUUUUUUGGGGAGGGGCAAUAGGAGAGGGAAUGGAAGUCAAGUGUUUAGGACAGAAGAUCUGGCCGAAAAUAGGGGAGGGGAACCCAAGAGAAAGGAUGGUUCAGGACCCCCACACUUCAAGAGGGGUCACUGAGCUGUGGUCCAGAUUCUUUUCCUGGUGCAGAACCUUUUGUCAAAGAUGCUCUGGCUAUUUUUCUCAAUACAAAAAAGUUUAUAAACGGUAAAACCUCAAAAGAAUAUGGAGAAGACCAACACAUAUUUGUGAAGUCCUACAAAGCCCCCACAAAUACGAUCACUGGAGCAGGCAGCAACUGGGGGGAGACAGCCCGGGAUCAGAUGCAUGUCACCCGAGGCACUCUGUUGGGUUUGCCCCCUUCCAGCACAGUGAGGUAGGUUUGUGGGGCCGUCCUGGCAUGUGAACGGAAUCUCCUUUUCUCCUUUAGCCCCCAUGACACUCCUCACGGCCACAGCAGGGCGGGACACUGGCUCUGGGCACCACAGAGAAGCCAUGGCUUAUGGUCUCUAGAAGCCAAUGAGAAAAGCCCAGAAUUCACAAAGGUUAAAACAUGUUGCCUUUGCCUCAGACACCCAUCCCUGGGCAGCUUGAGAUGGGUCCAGAGGUAUUGUUCUGAAACCUGUCCUUAUCCCUGCAUUUUUAAAAUGCACGCACGCACCUGUUGUGCAUCGUAGGCCCAGCCCAGUCUCACGACGGAUGGAUCUGGUAGAAGAAGGGAGUCCCAGGCCCUGGGAUCAGAAGUCUAGAACAGGAAUCCUCUAUUACACGUAGAAACGACCCUCAGCCAGUCCUGUCUUCCCCUCUGCCCCUUUCCCCGAGUGCAGUCUCGCCUCGCCUUCCUGCACCACCUGUUCUGUUUAGAACACUCUCCCAUCUUCCAAGAGAAGGGGAUCAAGUCCUGGGGCAACCCAGUUCAUACCUCGUCUCCCACGGAACAUGGCAGGUGGCAGGCUUUCAAGAGCUGGCUUUUCAGCCCUAGUGUCCUCUGAUUGGCAAAAAUGAGGUGGUUGCUUAGACUCUGCCCUCCAAGUAGUUGUCCUCCCUGAUGAUAAAGCAAGUAUUCUGUGCCAAACUGGAGCUGCCCACUAGCUCGAUCAAGCUCCUGAGAACACCAGGCAGGAAGGAGAGCCUUAAGAUUAAAACAUUACAAAACCACAAAACCAGAAUAUAUUAUGGAAAAAAAGUUAAAAUGCACAAGAUACAUCACUCGCACAUAGUGCUGUUGGCCGCCUGGCGAGAGUGGGGCCCGGGUGCGGUGGUCCAAGGGAGCAGAAUGGGGGGAGGCCUGCAGCUGUUCCCCAACAAGCCCUCUAUUGCGGCAGGCCCUGGCUUGGGACAGUUCUCGGUGGGUUAGGAGAUGAGGAAAAACCCUGCCUCAGCCCUGGGAGACUCCCUCCCACACGAUAUAGUGGCUUGUGGGUUGGGCCCAUCCAUCUGGUCUCAGGCCGAGCCCUGCGCGCACACUGACCCACUUACAGGGGUCCCCCGGCGCCUUGGCACCGCCACCUGCAAGCAGCUGGGUUGACACAGAGCCCAGGGUUGUCGGCUGAGCCCAUGGCCCCUGGUUGGGAGGCCCUGGACAAUAGGGGUUUUGCAUUGGCUUUGGUGAGGAUAUUUUGACCUGUGGCUUAAUGUCUUUUGUCCGAGUUGGGAAAUUCUGGUCAUUUCUUCCAGUGCUGCUCCUGUACCCUGUUAUCUCCCAUGACACGUGUUAGGUGUGUCAUGUAUCCACGGUCCUCUGCGUGUUUCUCGUGUCCUUGUCUGUAUUUUCCGUCCGUUUUCCACUUUGUGCCUCGGAGGACCAUCUUCCCAUCUCCUGUGUGUCUGGGGGUGGGGGUCCUGAACCAUCCUUUCUCUUGGGUUCCCCUCCCCUAUUUUCAGCUGGGAGACCUUAGCGGGUCAGGCCUGCUGCAGAGGAGGCUGAUCUCCGAAGGAGCUGAUCGCUGCUGCUCAUUCAUUGUGGCAGCCGGGCCUCCACCAGGAACCUUACAGUCCUGCCAGGGAGGCAGGAGCGAGGAGGUGCUGAGGGCACCAGGACGGGAGGACACCGGAUGUGCAAAAGCAGGAAGAAGGAGGGCGAUAUGUGGAAUGGCUUGCGAAAUCUGGUCUAGGGAACAGCUAUGACAAGACUGGGCCAGGAGUGAUGAGUAGAGCAAACGGACCCUUGGGAACCCUUGUAUUUUUAAGAAGGUGAAAAGUUCAGGGACCCUCAUUCCCAGAAAAAUGCUUUGCUUUAAAAAAAUAGUUCAUGCAGGGCGCCCGGCCGGCUCAGAGGAGUGUCAACUCGAUCUCAGGGUCAUGGGUUUGAGCCCUGUGUUGGGUGUGGAGCCUGUUUAAAAAAAAAAAAAAAAGGCUUGACUUGAGCAAGGGGGAGCAGUGCUGUGGGACUCUUGUGUCAUCAUCCUCCGUCCACUUCAGUUAUGAUGUGACGCCACUUGUCCAUGUGUGUUUCUGCUGCUAGUCACGGGCCUCCAGACAUGAAAACACUGAGUAACGUCUUAGUAAAAAGGAAAUAUACCAAGAAAGAGAUGAGGCCACAGAAGAGUGUCUUCUCUGUCGGAAAAUAAGGUGUAGGGUGGAGGCGCGGCAUUGGCUGUUGGGACGCUGACCCAUGUGGGGACGUGGUCAGUGUCUCAGCAGCCUCACGCUCUCUGGGGUCGUCAUGCCCUCACCCCGCACUCUCGUGGUCCCAUCCCAGCGGUAAACAAACAGUGGGUGACUGGGCGUAUUUGGUUUUUUGGUUAUUUUUAAAUUUUGCCAAGAACAUUUAAAACAAAUAGAACUCCCAUCAACCAUUCUCAUGUUUUAAUAAUGCAAAGGUGCAAAGCACAUGCUCCCAAGAUCAAGGACAGGAAGUUGGGUAGCAAGUUUGGUGACCGACUCGCUGUGGGCGCAGAUGGAGGCCUAGGAGCUAAGCAGAGCCGUACCGCUGGGACGCUGCCACCAGACCUGCGGCUGGGGUGGGGGUGGGGGAGCCUUUGGGCCUCGUGUGGCAGCCCCGUGUGCCCAGCCCCCUGGCUCCAUGCGCCAGGGUCACUUGUCUGAAGUCAGGCAUCCCCCUCACAGAGCUUUAUCAAUCGGGCACUCAGUCGUCAUUGAGGCCGCGGAGAUCAGAGGUCCCAGGGCUGGCGGGCAGCGUGCAGGGCUGACUGCUUGUGGGGUGGCCCUGGGGACACCAACUUGCUGCCUGCAAUCCUGGGGGCGCACUCCUGUUUUCCUCUCACAGCGGGUCCCUGCCCACGCCCGCUUGGUGGGGGUGACGGGUGUGGGCGCGUGGUUUCUGCUCCUCCAGGAGGUGCUCUACAAGGGGCGCAUGAGUCUGCUUUGCCCCCUGAGGAGCUCUGUGAGGGAGGUGAAGGCAGAUACGGUGAUGUCUGGUUCAGGUGACUCGUGUCUCAGUGGCCCACGGCCGUGCGCUUGCUUGUGACUGCGCAGGGACCUGAGCCGAGUCCGAGACUGCAGCAGGGUUCCUUGCUGGGCAUGGGGGAGGGGGCGGCUCCUGACAGCCUGGGGCCACGCCGUCCAGGGGACUCUGCACCCCUCUUUCCUGAUGCCCCGUGCUGUCCCCUGGGGCCAAGAUUCAGGAACAGUUUGCUGCAAAGGCAGGGUCCUUGCCCCCCACCCCUUUGUGUGUCCUGUGGCUUAGAAGAUGUGUUAUGACAGCGCGGGCCCAGAACGGUGCCUGGCACACAGUGUGUAGUCCAUAGAAAUCUCUGGGGCUGUGGCACAGAAGCCCCCGUGAGCCUUGCUCUGUAAACAGCCCGGGGUUUCUGGCAGGUACAGCUACGUCUUCCCACCCAGGGCACCUUUCACCAAGCCUCCUUCCCGACGGCACUGUUUGUUGGAAGGUGUUUUGUUUUUCCUUUUCUCAGCCUCUGCUGUCUGUCUGGGCCAAAGCCCAGGGUGCUCCAGGGCGGCCUUGUUGGGCUCCGAUAACCUCCAGGGGGACUGCAGGGAGGAGAGGCUGAGCUGGGGGCCUGGGAAGCUGGCCCAGGGCUCUCCUCUCUCUGGGGAGAACCCUCCUGCUUCCCCUCCAUUUCUUGACUGCAAAAGCUCUGUUCUUGAGAGAAAGGCUACCUUCCUGGCAGGGGCCGGCACCUCCUCGCAGGCCAGGAUGGAGGCCAGGCUGCCGACUGCUGCCCCGGGGCCGCAGAGCUGGCUCUGUGGACGGUUGGUUGUCUGCCAGGACUUGCUGGCCGGCCGUGUGGGCCGAGCUGAUGAUGGCUCCCAGCGCCCUGAGCACUGGGAGGACUGAGGUGGGGCCGAAGAAAAUGGGUCACACGUGGAGUGAGCAAGUGGGGCUCCGGGCGUCCCCACCAGGCCUUGGGAAGUCUGAGCACAAGCCUCCAGUACCACCUGGUUCUGGGAGAGGAAGAGCCUGGCUGGGCCUUGUGCUUUCCUCUCGACAAGGCUCUGAGAAUGGCUGGAAGCUCGCUGGGUGGGGGAGGGCUGAUUUAUUCUUGGUUCACUAGAGCGGGAGCUCCUGAGGUCAAGGUCAGGGCAGCUGGGCUGGCCGCAGUGGGGAGCCCGUUGGCUGCUGCACCUCCAGCUCCCUGGGAGCUCGCAGGCCACCGAAGGAGCCUAAGGCGGUCUUUGUGUAACGUCUUUUGGUGAUCUAAUGACAAGUCCUUGCCCUUGGAGAGCUUUGGCCCUGCCCGGCAGCCUAGAAAUGGCCAGGGAAGGGUGUGACAGAACUUCUGAGGGGGACGACGACAGGCAGGGGAGCUGGGGGGCCACCUCUGCUCGCGGUGGCUAGGCUGGUUAACCCGAGGCUUGUCUUUGGACUUGAUGCAGGCAGAUGCAGAGAGACCUUGGUGAGGGUCAUUGUAGUUUGAAGGUUAACCUUACUUGUUAUCACUUACUUUGCAAAGGCAGAUACUGUGCUGGGUGGGGCGGGGUGGGCCGGCAGCAGGGAGUUAAUGUUUAAUUGGCGCGGCUGCUCUUAGCUAUCUCAGCUCCGUGCCCAGUGCCCUCUGGAGCUGGUCAGAGCUAAAACAGGCCCGGUUGCCAGAUGGCCUUGGUGGACCUGAGGGCCCUUUCAGGUGCCUGGCUUCUUCCUAUGGCUUCCAGAGCUCGGCUCAUCCUGCCCUGCGCUGCUUGUAUGCGUGAGUGCUUGGAGCAUGGCCGGGCCAAACCAGGCCAUGCUCAGUGCGCAUACACGCUGGAUUUUGAAGACUCUGUACAAAACCAAAACAAAACCGUGAAAUACCUCUGAUGAUUUUUACACACAAGAGGACUUAGUAAUAUUUUGGAUGUAUUAUGUUAAAUAAAAUACACGAUGCGCAUUCA